GUGAUUGCUUCAGCAGCACAUAUAUUAAAAAUUGGAAUGAUACAGAGAGGAUAGCAUGGCCCCUGCACAAGGAUGACA
rnacentral:snRNA from 1 species